AAAUUGAAGAGUUUGAUCAUGGCUCAGAUUGAACGCUGGCGGCAGGCCUAACACAUGCAAGUCGAGCGGUAGCACAGAGAGCUUGCUCUCGGGUGACGAGCGGCGGACGGGUGAGUAAUGUCUGGGAAACUGCCUGAUGGAGGGGGAUAACUACUGGAAACGGUAGCUAAUACCGCAUAACGUCGCAAGACCAAAGUGGGGGACCUUCGGGCCUCAUGCCAUCAGAUGUGCCCAGAUGGGAUUAGCUAGUAGGUGGGGUAACGGCUCACCUAGGCGACGAUCCCUAGCUGGUCUGAGAGGAUGACCAGCCACACUGGAACUGAGACACGGUCCAGACUCCUACGGGAGGCAGCAGUGGGGAAUAUUGCACAAUGGGCGCAAGCCUGAUGCAGCCAUGCCGCGUGUGUGAAGAAGGCCUUCGGGUUGUAAAGCACUUUCAGCGGGGAGGGAAGGCG
rnacentral:rRNA from 1 species